rnacentral:rRNA from 1 species
UGGGGAAUAUUGGACAAUGGGCGAAAGCCUGAUCCAGCCAUGCCGCGUGUGUGAAGAAGGUCUUCGGAUUGUAAAGCACUUUAAGUUGGGAGGAAGGGCAUUAACCUAAUACGUUAGUGUUUUGACGUUACCGACAGAAUAAGCACCGGCUAACUCUGUGCCAGCAGCCGCGGUAAUACAGAGGGUGCAAGCGUUAAUCGGAAUUACUGGGCGUAAAGCGCGCGUAGGUGGUUUGUUAAGUUGGAUGUGAAAGCCCCGGGCUCAACCUGGGAACUGCAUCCAAAACUGGCAAGCUAGAGUACGGUAGAGAGUGGUGGAAUUUCCUGUGUAGCGGUGAAAUGCGUAGAUAUAGGAAGGAACACCAGUGGCGAAGGCGACCACCUGGACUGAUACUGACACUGAGGUGCGAAAGCGUGGGGAGCAAACA